CAUAGUACAAUGUCUUCCUGGAGGGGUAAAAUUUUCCAUUACAAGAUUUUAAGAGAGGCCAUUUAUUGUACUUGUAAUUUGCGUUCAUUUUCAAAUUUGCCGCGCGAGUAUCUAUGUAGCGUCUCGUGGUCGUUGGUCAUCACAUUUCAUUUUCAUAACAUAACCGAUAACCUAAAAAUUUAGUAAAAAAGUAAAAAUUUUGAUUGGAAAAAAAUGCAUCGAUAAGGGGGUGUGGGAAAUGGAAAUUAGUGGCUUUUUUGCUGUACUGUCUGCUAGUUUUUGCUCUGGGCACUGGCUAGAUCUCUUGUUUAAACAAUUUUAAUCAGCUGAAAGUGGCCUACAAAAAAAAACCAAGAAGGAAAUGUAUAGCCUUGUGGCUAUGAAAGGCAAAAGAGAGAUAUAAAAAGUGUAUUGGCUAGUUGGAAGAAAGUCCACAUUGUCCAUGCAUAAUAAGUUAUUACAUUAUCAACAAAUAUCAAGAAGAUAGCAGGGUCACGAGCAUCAACUUCAUGAGUUCAAGAAUAUCGAGGAAAUCCAGCUCCUCGAUACUACUGGGCAAACUAGAAGAUUGAAGAGGACAAAUCCUUUUGAACUAGUUUGAGUGAUAGGUGAUAGUGAAAAAUGGAGCAUAGUGCUUGUGUGCUGUGCCUGUGUAUGUUAGAAUAGUGCACGAUCUUGUUAGAUUAGAUAAGAGACGCUAUGGGGUAAGCUCUUCAUUUUAAGAAACAGUAGUAAUUUAGGCUAAAUUAAAAUUGCUCAUUGGUCAGUUAUGACCAGAUUGUUUUUUUAUGUUUGGCAAAAAGGACUGAAUUGCACAUUGAUAAUGUUUUGAUGAUUUCUGGACCAGAAAAAAACUGUUGUAGAUGUAAACUGUAUGUACAGUAGAAUCUACUACAGUACUGUAGAAAUCAUCAAAACAUUAUCGAUGUGCAAUUCUGACUUAAGCCCUUUUUCCCAAACAUCAGAGAAUUGUAAUGUACAAUAAUUCUCCUAUCUGCUUUUUCAUGAAUUUUGUAGGAGAUGAAAAACCAUUUUUAGGAUCAUCUGCUUUCACAUGUUUUGUAGUAAAUAGAUAGUUGAAUUUACUACAAAACAUGUCAAAAAAUAUAUGAAAACAGGAGGUGACUAUAAAAAAAGUUUUUAGUCUCUCUUACAAAACUCAUGAAAAAACAAAUCGGAGGUAUGUCACAUCAGUGACUAAGAAUGUCUAAAAAAUAUACUUUGAUGUCCCAAGAACCAAAUAUAACCUACAGUCCAUCUAAUUUACUUACUGUUGCAUGUCAUUAUCUACGCCAGAGAUCUAAGUUGACAUAGUUGCCAAAGUAUAAAAAGAUCCUGAAUCCAUUUUAAAUCAAAAAUGUCACAUAAUUAUUGUAAACGUGGAUUAUACAACAAAACAAAUUAAUAUUCAAUGUAAAUAAGUAAAAACUUAAGAAAUAGAGAACAAGAAUUAAGUUAUAAUCUUCUAAGAUUUGCAGUGCAAGAGUUUUUGCACUGCAUUGUUAAUAAUUAAAAAACGGCUCCGAACUCUUGGCAAAAAGCCGGUAGGUUUCUUUGUAUAAGUAUGUCUACAAUAACAACUAAAAAAGUUGUCAGAUACCUCGAUUAUUCCAAGUCGUUAUAAAAUUAGGUGAAAUUUAUAUUUUUAUAGUAGAGGAUCUUUUUAUAGUAAAGUAAAUAAUAAAAACAGUAAAUAUAAUAAAUAAAACAGAUACUUAUAGUAAAGAAUAUAAACAAAUAUGAAGUGUCAUCACCGUAACUGUCAAAUAAAUGUUACCAAUUUAUUCUAAAAUGUCACCUUCGUUCGAUUACAGUUACAGUGUGAUCCGAACAAAUCUGCUUCAUAAAAACGCUUUAUAAUCCAUUUAUACAAAUUAAAUGAAACAUAUUAUUGUGUAUUUCUUUAGGUUAACAUUAAUAGAAAUCUUCAAAUAUUAUUUCUAGGCGUAUAUAAUAAAACAUGUCUAGUGGCGGUAAUUCCAGUGUACUCAGCAAAGUGAUUCUAAAAAAGAACACACCUACCGCCUAAAUAUUUCGUGUUGGUAUCAUGCAACCUCACAGGCUACGACGCGGAUGACGCGCAACAGUUAGUAAAUUAGACGAAGUAUGUAGAUAUAUACAGGGUGUAACAAAAAUACAGGUCAUAAAUUUAAUCACAUAUUCUGGGACCAAAAAUAGUUUGAUUGGACCUAACUUACCUUAGUACAAAUGUGCACACAAGAAAAGUUACAGCCCUUUGAAGUUAUAUAUAUAUAUAAUAGCACCAAGGGUCUUAGAGGCCCAUGGCUUGAAAAGUUUGUUUUUUUUCUUCAUUUUCACGUUUCUUUAUGUACUGAGAUCUUCUCUGGCUUGAUAUGUGAUUUUUCUCCAUUCCUUCCUGUUAUUCAUUUUUCUUUUCUGACCCUGUAGCACCAUUCUUUCCAAAUCUUUUUCGACCUCUUGCUUCCAUCUAUUUUUCGGCCUUCCUCUUCUCUUUCUUGAAGCUGUAGUGUAGUUUAGUACCAUUUUUGGAGUCCUCGUGUUUGGCAUCCUUUCAAUGUGACCUCGCCAUCUAAGUCUCUGUGCCUUUAUCAUUCAUUUGAAGUUACAAGAUGAAGUGAUUUUUUCCAAUAUAUCGAAAACUAUUAGAGAUUUUUUAUUGAAAAUGGACAUGUGGCAUUAUUAUGGCAGCA